CCCACUUCCUUCCCCUUUGCCCCUUUUCUUCCUAUUUCACAUUAAGAUGGAUCCACUGUUACCUCUGAGACUAAUGCUGAAUUUAUUCCCUGUCAGGGUAAAGGAAAUCUGAUUUGAUAUCUAUUAAAGAUAAUAGAGAUAGUUUCGUGGCAGGAUUUCUUCAGUGAUUAGAAAGUCAGAUGGACUAAGGUUUAACGUUUGAACUGCAGGACUAGAUUGCCGUCUCCUAAAUGUGGUGGAUUUGGGAACUGCUUCCCUUAGCUGGUAGCACUUCACCAGAGAACAUGCUGCUGAACGAAGGAACAGUGAAUGCAUGCAGGAUAUAACAAGCGACGGUUCAUACUGCUGUGUCUGGUGGAAGCCACUUAGCGCUAACCCUCCUCUCCCGUGGCCCUGAAAUUCUUCCUAUCAUUGUCAGCUGCCCCUCACAGCCUGCUGGGAAAGCGGUGGGGUUGGCCUGAAACGCCCACCGGGUGGAGACGACUGGUUUUUAAGCUGGGCCUUUUAGACCUCGCUGCUCCCCUGCUCCCAUCCGCGCCCACAGCACUGCCUGUGGCCAACGUCUUGUAACCUUUUGAAUCUAUUUCCUCAGCCCUAAAAGGAGAGGCAAUAAAAUAUCUACCUCGGAGGUUUGUAAAAGUAAAGGAAGAAGUGCGGGAAGUGUCCUAACAGUCACAUCCGUUACUGCCCUGUGAAUGUUCAGAGUCAUUGUCCAAAUCCGAGCAACUGCUGUGUGCUGUAGAAGACAAGGCCAGUCGGGAGUCCUCAAGCCUAUGCACACCAGAAAGGUGAUUCCUAACAUGACACUGCAGAAAUAUUGGGCUGAGGCUGACGGAUUUCAAGAACAAGAGCUGGAAAGAGUGACUAUUCACAAGAGUCCUGGUCUGACCACUGGGGCAUGAACUCAAUCCCUU